rnacentral:rRNA from 1 species
UACGUAUGGACCGAGCGUUGUCCGGAAUCAUGGGCGUAAAGCGAGCGCAGACGGCUUAUUAAGUCUGAUGUGAAAGCCCGGAGCUCAACUCCGGAAUGGCAUUGGAAACUGGUUAACUUGAGUGCAGUAGAGGUAAGUGGAACUCCAUGUGUAGCGGUGGAAUGCGUAGAUAUAUGGAAGAACACCAGUGGCGAAGGCGGCUUACUGGACUGCAACUGACGUUGAGGCUCGAAAGUGUGGGUAGCAAACAGG